UACGUAGGGGGCAAGCGUUGUCCGGAAUCAUUGGGCGUAAAGAGCGUGCAGGCGGCCCGGUAAGUCCGCUGUGAAAGUCCAGGGCUCAACCUGGGAUGCCGGUGGAUACUGUCGGGCUCGAGUCCGGAAGAGGCGAGUGGAAUUCCUGGUGUAGCGGUGAAAUGCGCAGAUAUCAGGAGGAACACCAAUGGCGAAGGCAGCUCGCUGGGACGUGACUGACGCUGAGACGCGAAAGCGUGGGGAGCAAACAGG
rnacentral:rRNA from 1 species